CGUGUGACGCGUUGACGUGUUGGGGGUUGUGUGUUGGGUUGUGUGUUUUUCCCAAGUGUUUUCCGUGGAAAUUACCGUGUUAGCUGUGGUUUAAAAAUAGCAAUCGAAGGUUUUAACGCACCGUGAAGUAGCGGUGGCCGGUGGGCGCUCACUCCUGCUUGGGCAACACGUUCAGCGAAAAGUUGGCGCUGGUCUCGUGCUUCUUGCCCUGCGCGCGCACCGAGUACUGGCCGACGUCGGUGGGCACGCAGGCGGGAAUCAGCAGCUGGUGCUUGGUCUUCUCGCCGGUCAUCUUGAGGUGACUGUAUCGCUGGACUCUCCGGGCUCCGACGGGCCCGCCUGGUUGACGGCGAUCACGCGGAACUGGUACUGCUCACCCUCGCUCAGGUCCGGCACCGUGCCGCGCGUCUUGUCGCCGGGCACCUCGGCGGCCUUCUCCCACAUACUGGUGGAGGGGAGGCCAGGUCAGGUUCUCCACCUCCGUCUCGCAGUUAUCGUCAGGAGUCUUCUUCACCUGAGUGGCGAGAGAUGGGACGAACGUCAGGUGGAGCUCCACCACGACGUCCGCGCCCGUCCCUGUCCGGCGCCCGGCCGGCGACACCAGCACAUGCACGGCUACCACGGACGCAAGCGGGGGUCGGUUCGGCGCCCUACCUCGAUGCCACUACUUGAGCUUUUGGUCGCCCUCGUGCCCAGCGUGCUGGACGAGACCUAAAACGCAGGUCGGCGUAGUACCAUAACAACUGGUUCAAUCCUGGAACAGACCGGCAGAGAGUUGAAGUGUAAUAACACGUGAUUUAAACCUCAAAUAAAGUAGAUGCGCCUGGCCACGGCGGUCAUCGUCGGCAGGGACCAGCGCGCAGCGUGUGCCUGACUAGAUAGACUGUGCCGCAUGGCACUGGUGUGGAGCGGGACAGCCUAACUUCCAGGUGACAGACGGCUUCUGUGAGGCGCGGUGCGGCUUGAUGCGCGUAGGGCUUGGUCGACUGUCGACAUCAAAUGUCUCGUAAUAAUUGUAGCAUAUCAUCGUUGCUUUGAUUUUCUCGAGUGCCUUAUGUCUCGUAAUCGGCAAUAGAUUUUGUGAAAAACGAGCAUGCACGCUGCAAAAUAUACAUGCCU
rnacentral:lncRNA from 1 species